rnacentral:rRNA from 1 species
UACGUAGGGGGCAAGCGUUGUCCGGAUUUAUUGGGCGUAAAGCGCUCGCAGGUGGUCCGAUGCGUCGUGCGUGAAAGCCCCCGGCUCAACUGGGGAGUGUCGUGCGAUACGGUCGGACUGGAGGCCAGUAGGGGGAUGCGGAAUUCCGGGUGUAGUGGUGGAAUGCGCAGAUAUCAGGAGGAACACCAAUGGCGAAGGCAGCUCGCUGGGACGUGACUGACGCUGAGACGCGAAAGCGUGGGGAGCAAACAGG